GAGCUCAGCAAGAGAGUCUUCUCGGUGUCGCGGGCGCCGCUGAGGCUGUGGGAGCGUGAGAGGCCGUGGGCGCCGCCGUGCCAGGGCGGUCCGAGCUCCAGGGUAGAUCGCUGCGUGU